rnacentral:tRNA from 1 species
GAGGGUAUAGCUUAGUGGUAGAGUGCAUGCUUAGCAUGCAUGAGGUCCUGGGUUCAAUUCCCAGUACCUCCA